AUGUCGCCUUGGGCGUUGCUCUUCCUGCUCGCCGCCCACCUCGCCGCCGGCGAGCCCACCACCUCCGCCACGACCCUCACAGCCACCCCGGCGACGCUGACCAAACCAGACCACCACGCAGUCACCCUGCAAUGGUCCAACCUCCCCGACCCGGGCCCGCUCGACUACGUGGCCGUCUACUCCCCGCCGACCUCCGGCGACCUCGACUACCUCGGCUUCCUCUUCCUCAACUCCUCCGCCUCCUGGGCCACGGGCGCCGGCAGCCUCGCGCUCCCGCGCCUGCCGGACCUGCGCGCCCCCUACCAGUUCCGCCUCUUCUGGGGCCCGCCGGGCCGGAACCCGCGCGUUGACCAGGACGGCGACCCGCUCCCCGACGCCAGCCGCCGCGCCGCCGUAUCGGGCGACGUGGCCCGCGAGGGAUCCGGCGCCCGGCCCGCCNNNCUGCACCUGGCGUUCACCGACGAGGCGGACGAGAUGCGGGUGCUGUUCGUGUGCGGCGACGGCGGGAGGAGGUCGGUGAGGUACGGGCCCGCCGGCCGGCGCGAGGAGGAGUGGGAGGAGGUGCCGGCGGCGGCGAGCACGUACGAGCGGCGCCACAUGUGCGGCCACCUGGCGAACCACAGCGUCGGGUGGCGCCACCCCGGCUUCGUCUUCGACGGCGUCAUGAAGGCGCUGCGGCCUGGGACAAGGUACUCCUACAAGGUACACGUUGGCAACGAUUCAGGGGGGUGGAGUGAGACACACAGCUUCAUCUCACGCGACGCCGAGGCCAACGAGACCAUCGCAUUCCUCUUCGGCGACCUGGGCACCUACGUCCCUUACAACACCUACUUCCGAACACCUCAAGAAAGUCUGUCAACCGUGAAAUGGAUCCUCCGCGAUCUCCAAGCCCUCAACGACAAACCGGCGAUCAUUUCACACAUCGGCGACAUCAGCCACGCCAAAGGUUACGCAUGGUUAUGGGAUCAUUUCUUCGAGCAGAUCGAGCCGGCUGCCAGCACACCAUACCACGUCUGCAUCAGAAACCAUGAGUAUGACUGGCCCUCCCAGCCCUGGAAACCCUCCUGGGCAGCAAAGGUGUACAACGGGAAGGACGGCGGCGGCGAAUGCGGGGUGCCAUACAGCAUCAAGUUCAGGAUGCCCGGAAACUCUUCCCUCCCCACCGGCACCAUCGCUCCCGACACCCGGAACCUCUACUACUCCAUUGAUGCAGGCGUUGUGCAUUUCGUCUACAUGUCCACCGAAACCGACUUCACCCGUGGCAGCGAUCAGUACAAGUUCAUAAAGGCCGACCUCGAGCGCGUCAACCGGAGCCGAACGCCGUUCGUGGUGUUCCAGGGCCACCGGCCGAUGUACACCUCGAGCAACGAGGCCAAGGACACGGCCCACAGGGAGCAGAUGAUCCAGCACCUGGAGCCCCUCUUUGUGGAGCACGGCGUGACCCUCGCUCUGUGGGGGCACAUUCACAGGUACGAGAGGUUUUGCCCCAUGGAGGACUACCGGUGCCUCAACGCGUCGUCGAGCUUCGUGUACCCCGGUGCCCCUGUGCACGUCGUGAUCGGGAUGGCCGGGCAGGACUUCCAGCCGAGCUGGGAGCCGAGGCCCGACCACCCUGAUGUCCCGAUAUUCCCUCAGCCGCGGCAGUCCAUGUACCGUGGCAGCGAGUUCGGGUACGCGAAGCUUGUGGCCACGAGGGAGAGGUUGACACUGGUGUACGUUGGGAACCAUGAUGGGCAAGUCCAUGACAUGGUCGAAAUACUGGCGCCGCAGGUCGGUGCCGCCGGCGGUGCGCCUGGUAAGCUGGUCGGUGCGAUGCCGGAGAAGAUGAGGUACGUGGGAAUUGCCGGCGGCGUGAUGCUUGCCAUGCUGCUCGGUUUCAUGGCUGGCUUUGCUGUUAGAAAGAAGAAGAGGGGCUCUGCAGGAUGGAGUCCUGUACAAGAUGAGGGGUCCUGA
rnacentral:rRNA from 1 species